rnacentral:rRNA from 1 species
GCGAAAGCAUUCGCCCAGAAUGUUUUCAUUAGUCAAGAACGAAAGUUGGUGUAGCGAAGAGGAUCAGAUACCCUCCUAGUACUGACCGUAAACGAUGCCAACAGGAGGCCGGCGGAAGUAACUUGCAUUGUGGGACUUGGCACCGUCGGAACCCCGCGGGAAACCCGAGUGUUUGGGUUCUGGGGGUAGUAUGGUUGCAAAGCUGAAACUUAAAGGUAUUGACGGAAGGGCACCACAAGGAGUGGAGCUUGCGGCUUAAUUUGACUCAACGCGGGGCAACUCACCCGGUCCGGACACCGCGGGGAUUGACAGAUUGAUAGCUCUUUCUUGAUUCGGUGGGUGGUGGUGCAUGGCCGUUCUUAGUACGUGGUGCAAACUGUCAGGUUAAAUCCGCUAACGUACGCGACUCUAGCCUAUUUACUAGAGCUGGACGAUGAUAAUAAGUCGCCGAUGCGAGGAACUUCUUAGGGGGAUCCAUUGCGUGGGAGAAGCGGAUGAAAUAGAGCAAUAACAGGUCUGUGAUGCCCUUAGAUGUUCGGGGCCGCACGCGCGCUACACUGAAAAGGAAAGAGGGUGUCCGAGAAUGAGCCGGGCGCGCGAGCCGCCUUAGAGAAAUCUUAGAAACCUUAUCGUGCUAGGGAUUAGGGUUUGGAACUGUUGCCUAUCAACGAGGAAUUCCAAGUAAGUGCGAGUGACUAGCUUGCGUUGAUCAAGUCCCUGCCCUUUGUACACACCGCCCGUCGCUACCACUGAGCUAGCGGCUUAGCAAGGGCGUCGAGACGCGUCCUGGGGGCUCUUGGCGUGUACGGUGUGUCGGCUUCGGUCGGCCGCCGGCCACUUUGCCGGCCUCAGGUGGGCGUGAAAGGCGUUCAAACUCGGCUGCUUCUAGGAGGUAAAAGUCGUAACAAGGUUGCCGUAGGUGAACCUGC